AGUUUUGACUUGCAAGAAGUAAAAGAAGAAAUCUCAAUGGGAUCUGCAGAUCAAACAAGACAUGAGGAGCAGCUGAUUAAUCCCAUGUCAACAGUCUUGACCCUAUGCAGAAAAUAGAACCAUAGAAGGCCCGCUUAACAAUAUAUCAAGGAUUCAUCUUUCUGUGAACAUCCAGAGCAGUGCAACGCAUCAGAUCCAGAGAGGCACCUCAGUCCCUUCCUUGAAACGCUCCCACGUCACGGCUCAGUGCCGCAAGCGCUGCCUCACGUGAGUAGUUUUACUCUCCUGAGCAGAGCCAUGCGCUUCAGUCGGGCCAUUUAUCCUAACAAGAGCUUGUGGAAUUGGGUCCUUUCAGCAAGGCACUUAAAGAGGCUUUUUCAAGCCGUAAGGAUUUCGGGACAUCAUUUUAAUUGUUGGACAUUUGUAAAGGAUUCCCAUUCCUCCACAAAUGCACAUUAAAAAUUGCCCGUUCUCCUACUAAUGCUUUCGCUUGAGCACAAACAUAUAGUGCCUGGUUUAUAUUUGUCUGAAAUUUCUGGGUAAAUCAGAUGAAAUAAAACGUCCAUAACGUGACACAACACUCAUUUAAAAUGUGGUCAUGGGCGAGAGAGAACAGAGUGUACGCAUUUUCUUUUUUAGUACAGCAGAACAGUGACUCACCAAAGCCAUUUUGGAAACACUAAUGAAAUUUUAAAUUUUAAGGUGUGCAAUUUUAUAUGGCAGCUCUGCAAAAGACUGUGCCUCUUAUUAUUGUGAGGCAUGCACCACUAGAAAAAAAAAAACGACGACAAGAGAUGUACAUAACGUAACUAGAUAAAGCCAAAAUCUGUGUAAAUCUUCUCAUGUAAACUGCAUAAUAGCACUUCAAAUGGCCCCUUUCUGUCAUCCACUGUAACCAUCACAUUCCCAUUUCUGCUGCAGUCAGGUGAACUGUCAAAGAGCUAUUACGGUUGGCUGCAUAGAAUUCCGAGGAAAGACAAAUCUUUGCAAUUUUCUCCUUGGACAAUAAAUGGUUCUUUUGGUGCCUUUAGGUUUUCCUCAACAAUUUUGGUAAAGAAAAAAAUGAGUUUUUAAUUUUUUUUUCUCAUUUUUUACAUGCACACAAUAAUGUACGGGGCUUUAUUUGGGCUGAAACCUUUACUAUGAAUGUGUAGCUCUUUGAUGGAUGCACAUUAGCAUUCCAGUAUGAGGGUAAGAUUUAUAUAUUAUUUCCUUUUCUGAUACAUAAUGUAGCUUCGAGUAGAUGCUUAAGACACUAUGAUGGCAUGUUGUAUUUUAGUAUGUUAUUUUAUUCACUAUUCAAAGAAUGGACACACACUGAUUGGAACAACGAAAUAUAUAUACAAAUGCAAAAAUCAUCCGAUCUAUUAUUAAAAACUAAUAACAUCUCUAAAAUAUUAAGUGUAUUUAGUCUUUCAUGCCUGCUUAAAAUACUGCAUGCUCAGACGUGAAUACAUUAUUGUAAUGUGUAAUACCGCAUCUUCUGAUAAUCCUUAUCUCAUAAAUAAAAAAAGAUGUAU
ensembl:lncRNA